rnacentral:rRNA from 1 species
GAACGAACGCUGGCGGCAUGCCUAACACAUGCAAGUCGAACGAGACCUUCGGGUCUCGUGGCGCACGGGUGCGUAACGCGUGGGAACCUGCCCUUAGGUUCGGAAUAACUCCCCGAAAGGGGUGCUAAUACCGGAUAAUGUCUUCGGACCAAAGAUUUAUCGCCUUUGGAUGGGCCCGCGUUGGAUUAGCUAGUUGGUAGGGUAAAAGCCUACCAAGGCGACGAUCCAUAGCUGGUCUGAGAGGAUGAUCAGCCACACUGGGACUGAGACACGGCCCAGACUCCUACGGGAGGCAGCAGUGGGGAAUAUUGGACAAUGGGCGAAAGCCUGAUCCAGCAAUGCCGCGUGAGUGAUGAAGGCCUUAGGGUUGUAAAGCUCUUUUACCCGGGAUGAUAAUGACAUUACCGGGAGAAUAAGCUCCGGCUAACUCCGUG